rnacentral:tRNA from 1 species
GGGAUUGUAGCUCAGUGGUAGAGCACAUGCCUAGCCCGUGUGAGGCACUGCAUUCAAUUCUUAGCCCCA